UACGUAGGGGGCAAGCGUUGUCGGAUUCGAUUUGGCGUAAAGAGCGUGUAGGCGGCCAGGUAGGUCUGCUGUGAAAACUCGAGCUCAACCUCGAGACGUCGGCGGAAACCAUCUGGCUAGAGUCCGGAAGAGGAGAGUGGAAUUCCUGGUGUAGCGGUGAAAUGCGCAGAUAUCAGGAAGAACACCCGUGGCGAAGGCGGCUCUCUGGACGGUACUGACGCUGAGACGCGAAACGUGGGGAGCGAACAGG
rnacentral:rRNA from 1 species